GGGUUCUACCGUUGGUCGGGCUACCCAGUCUGUACUAGCGUGUAGAAUUCCUACCUUCUGGAGAACCAUCAUGUUAUUAAUUUAGCGUGGUGGGAAACCAGGACCUUUACCUUGAAAAAAUUAGAGUGUUCAAAGCAGGCUUACGUCUGAAUACAUUAGCAUGGAAUAAUAGAAUAGGACGGUGGUCCUGUUUUGUUGGUUUCUGAAUCACCGUA
rnacentral:rRNA from 1 species